GACGCCGCUCCCUUUUGGCUUGACGGGGCCACGGCGCAUUUAUGGUGAGGUCGACAGGGGGACCCACAAGAUCGUUAUCCUGAUCCUCCAGUCCGCACCCGAGGGGAAUAUCCGUCUCGUGGACCCGAGUGAGUCCGACCCUUGCGCCCAGGGUCGGGCAAGGGGGAGUUUCGGCGGUGGGGGUCGGGCGCUCCCGACCCCAGUUCCCUGGGUUGGACAAGGCGGAACCUUGCGGCGAGAGGUCGGGCGCUCCCGACCCUGGGACCGCGGUCGGGCGAGGCGGAGUCCCUCCAUCGCGGGGUCGGGAUUGUCCGACCCCGGGGCCCCGGGUAAGGCAAGACGGAGUAGGGUGUUCUCUGCCUUCACUGGGCCGGAUGUAAUCGUUACCGCAGGUGGGUCCGAGCCUUCAUGACUGUCGCCUUGAGCGGUAUUAGGAGGUCGUUAAUAUUCC
rnacentral:lncRNA from 1 species